rnacentral:rRNA from 1 species
UACGUAGGGGGGCAAGCGUUGUCCGGAUUUAUUGGGCGUAAAGAGCUCGUAGGCGGCUUGGCAAGUCGGGUGUGAAAACUCCAGGCUCAACCUGGAGAUGCCACUCGAGACUGCUAUGGCUAGAGUCCGGUAGGGGGACCACGGGAAUUCCUGGUGUAGCGGUGAAAAUGCGUAGAUAUCAGGAGGAACACCAGUGGCGAAGGCGGCUUUCUGGACGGUAAACUGACGCUGAGGCGCGAAAGCGUGGGGGAGCAAACAGG